rnacentral:tRNA from 1 species
GGGUAUAGUUCAGUGGUAGAGCACAUGCUUAGCAUGCAGGAAGUCCUGAGUUCAAUCCCCAGUACCUCCA